rnacentral:rRNA from 1 species
GACGAAGGAUGCAAGCGUUAUCCGGAUUCAUUGGGUUUAAAGGGAGCGUAGGUGGCUUUAUAAGUCAGUGGUGAAAUCUCUGGGCUUAACCCAGAAAUUGCCAUUGAUACUGUAGGGCUUGAGUAUAGAUGCCGUUGGCGGAAUAUGACAUGUAGUGGUGAAAUACAUAGAGAUGUCAUAGAACACCGAUUGCGAAGGCAUCUAACGAAACUAUAACUGACACUGAGGCUCGAAAUUGUUGGGAUCAAACAGG